UAUACAAUUAACAUAAUUUAAUAUUUUUGGUUUAGAAGUUAAAUUUAUUUUGGAUUUAUAUUAUUAUUUUUAGGUGAAAUUUAAAUUUUGUUUAAUUCUUAUUUGAUUCUUUUAAAAUCAUAUUAUAAACUAGGAUUAGAUACCCUAUUAUUUUGUUUGUAAAUUUGUUUCCUGGGUAGUAAUAGUUAUGUUCUUUAAACCCAAAGAAUUUGGCGGUGUUUUAUACCUGUUAGAGGAACCUGUCCCUUAAUCGAUAAUCCACGUUUUAUCUUACUUAAUUUUGUUUUCAGUAUGUAUAUCUCCGUUAUAAGUUUAUUUUUUUAGAAUAUUUACUUAAUAAUUUAUUUAUUAUUAUUUC
rnacentral:rRNA from 1 species